CAAGGCGAAGAGCUAGGACUUAUGAAACCCUUUCCCAAGAGUUCUUGUAGUUGCGUGGACAGUUCUUCAAGUUCUGAUGGAGCUAGACGAUAAGGUGCUCGAGCUACGGGCGCUGCUCCAGGAGCUAGCUCGAUUUGAAACUCAACUUGACGAUGAGGCGGAAGACCAGGUAAUUCCUCAGGAAAUACCUAAGGAAAAUCGUGUACAAUAGGUAUGUCUUCUAUCUUCCUUUCUUCCGAGGAUAUAUCAGAAACGAGGGCUAGAAUAGCAGUGUGGCCCUUUCGCAACCACUUCUGGGCCUUAAGGAAAGAGAUUAUGCCCACAACAGCACCACUCUUGUCGCCACGAAUCACGAGGGGUUCUUCGCCAGCACGAGGGAUGCGGACAAUCUUCUCGUUGCAAAGAAUUUUCGCUCGUUGAUGAGAUAACCAAUCCAUCCCAAUUACAACGUCGAAACUACCCAGAACGAUAGGAAUAAGAUCGAUAGAGAAGGUCUGACCAGCUAGGACGAGGUUACAGCCCUUAACUAUGUGUGUGGCUUCAAGACUUUUACCGUUUGCCAGUUCUACCGUGUGUUUGGUGUUCAGAAGUGCUGGAGUGCGCUUAAGCAUUUGGCUAACUUUUAAGGACACAUAACUAGUAUCGGCACCCAAAUCAAAUAAAACUGUAACAAAGAAGUCGUCCAGAAGAAACUUACCCAUCACAACGUUGGGGUCGUUCCUUGCAUCACCCUGACCAAUCACGAAGGCACGACCUCGGGCGAUAUUGCCAUUAUUGUUACCCCCGUUGUUGCCUCCAUUGUUGUCUCCAUUGGUGUUCCCGUUUCCUUGGUUGUUGUUGUUCUGAUUCUGGUUCAGCUGAGGACAGUUCCUUUUAAAGUGGCCUUCAGCGCCACACUGAAAGCAUCCUUUAUUGCCCUGUUGUUGCUGCUGCUGGUAGUUCUGUGGAGCUAGUUAUUGCUGUUGACGAUUCUGAUUCGCAGGACGUGGGCUCCUGCAAUCCUUGGCGUCAUGACCCAGCUUGUUACAUCUCAGACAACGACCCUUGUGGCACUGCCCGCUAUGAUGCUUGUUGCACUGGUUGCAUUUGGGGUGGUUCCCUCGGUAUCCACCCUGCCCUUGACUACCAGAAGAUUGCUGACCAGGACUCUGGUGGUCAUCGGUCUUUCGCUGCUAGGACUGAGACUGAACUGCAGUAGAACCCUUGCCCGAAUUUCCAUCCCACUUGCGCUUGUUAUCACUGGGAGCAUCAGUAGUAGUAGCGCUAAUACGCUUGGGCAGCUUGUUCUGCUCAACUGCCUGAUCAGUGAGACGGUGAGCUAGUCGUAUAACUUGCUGAAUGGUGCCCAGGUUAGCUGAAGUCACGUGACUCUGAAUCUCUGGUACUAGAACCUUGAGGUACAGCUCAAUACGUUUGAUGGGAGGAUCCGCCAUAGUAGGACACAAGAUAGCCAAUUCGUUCGAUCUCUUUGUGUAUGCCUCAAUUUCAGACCCCAUCAUCUUCAGAUUGAAAAAUUCCACCUCUAGCUUGUGGAUAUCGUCACGACUACAGUACUCUUCUUUGAUCAGUUCUUUGAAGUCGUUCCAUGGGGUGGCAUUAGCAACCGCCAGCCCUAGCAGUUGAACCUGUGCUUUCCAACAGGUUAACGCAGCACCUUCAAGUGCUCCAGUAGCAAAUUUCACCCUACAAUCUUCAGGGCAUUCACACAUCUCAAAAACAGACUCAAGUUUCUCGAACCAGUGAAAAAGACCUACAACUCCUUCUGUGUCGCUGAAGUACUAGGUCGGCAAUCCAUGAACGUUUUGAACGUGCACACAGGAGGUUGUGCAGGUUGACCUCCUGCUGGAGCUGCUGCGAGUGCCUUAGCAACUCGUUCAUUGAUCAAAGCCGUCAACUGAGCUUAGGUUGAUACAUCCUCCGCGUCCGUUCAUGAUCUUCACAACGAAGCAACGUAAGUGAGAAAAGUGUCACGAAAGUGCGUAAGCGUGGGAUGACAGAAGAGAGUAACCACACAAGGUUCAAAUAGCAGUUAUCACGUUAACUAAUGCACUCUGUGAACUAUCUAACCGACAAUAUAAACAUGAUUCAUACCACCUAUUGUGUCGAGUCUUGCACGUGGAGUGAAGCGUCGUUGUGGAUCGUUGAGCAUUGUACAGGUUAUAGUCUGGUUUUAUCGAAAAGCUUUUCCCCUUUUAAAACCAAGUUCACUAUAACCAAUGGCUCUGAUACCAAUCUGUCACACCCCCAAAAUCCAUCAUGCGGAGUAUCACCGCUUGGAGGCGUGACAUGACCAGGAUCAAGCCACCAAUCAUAUUGAACAACGUAAUUAAGUAAAUAAAACCAACCACAAUACAAUUGGUGACCAAAAUAAAGUAACUGACUUUGGUUUACAGCGGAAGCAUAAAAACGUAAGUCCAAAACAUAAGUUCCAUUGUUCAUAAGUUUAAAGUCCAAUACGUGAGUUUAAUAAGUUCAUAAGGAUUAAAUAUUAAGCACGAGACAUAACAGUCCUUAUCCCACAACGACCACCUCCUCGUGUAAGCUCCGUAAGCAUCUAGCGACCUGUAAGGCAUGUAACAACGAGUCAACAACAAAGUUGAGUGAGUUCACGGUUGAUUGUUUAGUUUUAAGUUGUUUCUGAAAACAUGGUAUGUCUUUCGUUGGCUUAUUUGUCGUAGGGGUUACCCCAAUGUUGAAAGUAUGAUUAACCAGUUCUUUCUUUAUUACCCAAACCAUAUCCAUAAUCAGUGGGGGCUUCCCCAUGUAAACCACUAGACCGUAUCAUAUCGACUACUAACGAAAAUAAGUUGUGCCCUACAUCAGUGUCUAUCAUCACUGACAGUUUGCCAUAGUCCAUUAGUACAUGUCCGUCCGACUGGCACGGUGUGAGGUUUGUUAAACCUAAUACCGCUAUUAACAAAUGACCUGCUCGCCAUCGGCCUCGGCGAUUAAGUCGAUAUAAAAUGAGGGACUUAAUGAUAGAGUUUUGUCUAGUAAGUUUUAAGGUUGUUGUCCUACCCAAGGAGGACGAACGUACGUAUUCUACCCAAGGAGAAUACGCAGGAUUAAAAUUGGCAUCCUACCUAUGGAGGAUGGGCGUACAUAUCCUACCCAAGGAGGAUAUGUAGAUUCCGUUUUAAAUUCUUUAACCCAUUCCCAACCACCGGGAAUCCCAUGCCUUAGAAAGUGUGUGAACUCACCUUGGUUUGCUCGGUUAGAUUAGUUACUCUAAUAAUCAGAAAUCAAGCAAGUCCUAAUAAAGUACAGAUAACAAUCAAUUUCUUGUGCAUGCAUAACAUGUAUCCUACGUACGGUUUAUCUACUCAUUACUUCUAUCACAUACCACACAUACCACACAAUACCAAUGUCAAGGUACUUUGUUAAGUUAUAUUGUUUUACCCUAAUAUAACUAUCUCACAGAAUAAACAAGUAUCCACACAAGUGUUCUAGUAUAAAUAUAUAUUCUAAAUAUAUAUAUAUAUAUAUUUAACCAUUUUACUUGUAAAAUCAACCUUCGAUACUUUGUAUUUUUUGUAACAAAACUCAUGGCGAAGUUUAUUUUGAAAAGCAAGGUUACAACGUAUAUGUGAACACUUGUUAGAAAAAUAAUCUCUAAAUGUUGGAAUUUUUAGAAAAUAUAAUAUACAUAUCCAAAGGACUUCUUAAGGUCAUUAAAAUUUCCUUAAAACACCCUUAAAACAUGAUGUACAAGUCCUUUAAGCAUAAGAAAACAUCACUUUCCAGUUAUACCCUCCUACUAAAAAAACACGGGAUACCAUUAGGGUUUCACCUUCAUUCAUUCAUUUCAAAACAUUUCAAAAUCGCCGCUUUCUGCUCCUCUCUCUCUCUCUCUGGCGAUUCAUCUGGAUCUAGGAUUUGUCUCCAUGGCGAGUAUCAGCAUAUUUCGUCUCCGAUCAAACCUAAAAUUCCAAAUCCAAUACGAAACCCUAAAUCUUCACUACAAUCUCACUACUAAUGGCGAGAUACGAUAGAGUUAUCACGCUGUUUCAUUUUUUGCUCCUUAUUUUGAGUUACAAGUGUUAAUGAACUUGAUAACUUGUGCAGAUCUAUGCUGAACAGGAUGUGGAUCUUGAAAUCCUAUGGGAUAGAGCUAAUGAUGCCAUUUCUGGUGUUUUCUUGUAGCCUUGUAUUAAGGUGUGCAAUGGGAAAUUGCUAUAGCAUGCAGAAAGACCAUGAAACUGCGCUAAAAAACUUCCAAUGUAUCAAAAAGCAAAUAUUCUUGCGAGUAUGGAGGAUUAUGAUGGUGCUUUGGUUGUUCUAGAAGAACAUAAAGAAUACGCUCCUCAAGAAAGCAGCGUUUAUGCAUUGAUGGGAAAGAUAUAUAAAAAACGCCUUAUAUACGACAUGGCCAUGCUUCAUUUUGGUCGAGCUUUGGAUUUGAAGCCUUCUGCAACCGAUGUUGCUACUAUCAAGGCUGCCAUUGAGAAAUUACAUGUACCUGAUGAAUUAGAAGAUAACUUCAAGUGCUAUUGACAGAAGUGAGUUUGAUUCUCUUCUAAAGCUAUAUAUAGAAGCCGAUGCAGUUCAAGAGAAAGCAAGAACUCUGAGUUAUAUAGCGUCUUCUCCGGACCCAGAUGUAGUCAAAGAGGCGUUAGACCUCAUCUUAAAUGAUGAGAAUCGAGAACAAGACACGGUAUAUGUAACUGCACGGAUGAGCUUGGAAGGCCGUGAAACAGCAUGGAUAUGGCUAAAACCGUAAAAUCAUACAUAAAUUAAAAUUUUUCUGAUACAUGUAUUCUGUAAUUAGUGUUAAAACUGCCUUAAUGGCUAUCAAUUUAGAAAAGAGAGUGUAUAUAUGAUUGUAGUUUUUUUUCCCCAUGUUUAGUUUUUGAUUAUAUGCUGAACAGUAAAUACUUUUCUGGUUUGUAUUCUCUUUUCAGGAGAACUGGGAUGUGAUUGUAAAGCGGUGGGGUCAAGGGAUGGUGUUCCAUCGUUUCAAUAGAGAUAUAGUGACACCGUUUAGCAGCGAUGAGAUGGCAGAACAGGUGGAAGAGUUUUUUAGCAACCGAGUAACUCCUUUGUUUGUUAGGAUCUUGAAACAAAGCAUAGAAAAAAUCCAAAUCAAAGCCAGAUGGAUUGAUAAAAUUAGGCAGGAGGAAUCUCUUAUACCUAGGUUGACCAGAGGAUUGACCAGAACUCCAGUGGAAACAUAAUAACAAGACCCAAACCAUUGGAUCCUUGUCAUGCUUUUGUUCUGUAUUAAACACACCCCUAUACAUGUGUGUGUAUGAUGUAUGUAUAUUUUGUAUCCAUAACGCUUUUUGAGUCCCCUGUUAACAAUAACAUCACCUAAAAGCUCAACAUAGACGUAUGUAAUGUAACAUAAUCGAUAAACGCUAUUUUCUAGACAUGCAUUCAUAUAUUCGUUUUA